rnacentral:lncRNA from 1 species
UUGACUAAACUCUCCCCUUUAAAAUUCCUGGCUUUGUGCCUAAAUUUCAUUUCAUUAUCUGAUAAUCAGUACAACUUAUAGAUCUUUAUUAUCAUGUUAAUCUUUACCAAUUCUAACACAUUGCUACACUUUAUUAAAACCGUCUGAUUGAUCAGAUAUAGGAAUUCAAGUGGUAAAUAUCGUAAUGUGAAAAUGGUAAGUUCCCACUAAGCUGAGCAUAUCUAUGUCUUAUCUUUUAUAGCCAUUGUUCUUCAUUCACUCAUGCUUGGCAGAAAAGCAUGAACAUCACAUAAUCCCAUUUCCCAUCUCUUAUAAUGUAAUUUUGUUGGCCAAUUUAAGAGACUAUCGCUAGUUGUUGGCUUUGCAAUAACUGAGGAAUUCAUUCCUUAGUUUAAACAUAAUACAACAGUUACAUUAUAAAAGACCAAAGACUAUGGAAUAUUGUGUAGUUAUUGUCACAUCCUUAUUUUAAACUUUCACCAUCGUAUGAUAAAUACUGACAGGAUGGUUAUACACUGCGCCACCAAUUCAUCUGAAAAUAUUCAAAAUAUUUAUAUCGGUUGUUCUUAUAACUCUAAGAUGCUAUUUUUGGCAUAUUGUAUAUGACAGCUACAUAUUGUAUGAUAUCUAUAUGAUAUCUCUAUAUUGUAUAUAUAUUCUGAAUUGAGACCAUGUGUUCUUGAUUAUACUGAAGCUGAUGAAACCCAAUAAGGUAGAAAUGUUGAUACUUCAAUUAUUGGGACCACAUUCUCUCACUCUCUCUCUCUCUCUUGAGGUCCUUAACCCCUAUAUUCUUUUACAAGGAGACUAUAUAUAUAUAUAUAUAUAUAUAUAUAUGUAUGUAUAUAUAUAUAUAUAUGUAUUUAUAUAUAUAUAUAUAUAUAAAUAUUAUAUAUAUAUAUAUUAUAUAUAUAUAUAUAUAUAUUAUAUAUGUAUAUGUAUACACACAAUUGUUCAUUUGAUUGUUUUUACAUCCAUUUUUUCCCAUGUUAGCAUGGGUUAUAUGGAUAUAUAUUAUUGAGGCAUUGUUUUUACAGCUGGAUGCCCUUCCUGUCACUAACCCUUACUGCUUUUCAAGCAUGGGAUCUAUAUAUAUACAUAUAUAUUCAUUUUUUUUCGUCACCUGAAGGAUCGCACACAGUGAGAAUCUCUAAGCAGCAAUGGAGUGAACCAUCAGCUUUGAAUGAAUACAUAUAUAUAUAUAUAUAUAUAUAUAUUCUUAUACAUAAUUAGCUACUUUGCUUGUCUCAGCUAAAGAAAAAGAAUAGAGACUAGUUAUUACCUUCCCACCUUCACAUCUGAACAGUUUGUUAUUAUAAGAAAGGACAUCUAUUUGUAAAAUAACUUGCUCCAACAAUUCAUAUGCAAAUAUUAAAAUCUGAUAAUGAAUAAUAACGAUAAUGAUAAUAAUAAAAAUAUUAAAAAAUAAAAACUUGAAAAAAAAAAGCCACAAAAAAUGCAAAACAAAUCAUCUCCUCUCCUCUAUGUUAAUAUGGAAAUGUUGAUGUAAAAAUGAUAGAAAAAUUAAUACUAUAAAAAUUUUAAAAAAUAAUAAUAAUAAUAACAAUAUUAAUAAUGAUUCCGAAACAUUCAUUGUAAACUAUCAGUUAUAUUUUUUUUUAAUGGCAUUAAAGUUUGCCAAAAUG